rnacentral:rRNA from 1 species
AGAGCUUGACUCUCCUUAAGGCACCAUCAAGACCAGGUGGUUGAUAGGUCAGGUGUGGAAGCGCAGCAAUGCGUUGAGCUAACUGAUACUAAUGAGCCGUGCGGCUUGACCAUAUAACCCCAAG